UACGUAGGGGGCAAGCGUUGUCCGGAAUCAUUGGGCGUAAAGCGCGUGUAGGCGGCCCGGUAAGUCCGCUGUGAAAGUCGGGGGCUCAACCCUCGAAUGCCGGUGGAUACUGUCGGGCUAGAGUGCGGGAGAGGCGAGUGGAAUUCCUGGUGUAGCGGUGAAAUGCGCAGAUAUCAGGAGGAACACCAAUGGCGAAGGCAGCUCGCUGGGACGGUACUGACGCUGAGACGCGAAAGCGUGGGGAGCGAACAGG
rnacentral:rRNA from 1 species